GAUGAACGCUGGCGGCGUGCCUAAUACAUGCCAGUCGAGCGAACAGACGAGGAGCUUGCUCCUCUGACGUUAGCGGCGGACGGGUGAGUAACACGUGGAUAACCUACCUAUAAGACUGGGAUAACUUCGGGAAACCGGAGCUAAUACCGGAUAAUAUAUUGAACCGCAUGGUUCAAUAGUGAAAGACGGUUUUGCUGUCACUUAUAGAUGGAUCCGCGCCGCAUUAGCUAGUUGGUAAGGUAACGGCUUACCAAGGCAACGAUGCGUAGCCGACCUGAGUGGGUGAUCGGCCACACUGGAACUGAGACACGGUCCAGACUCCUACGGGAGGCAGCAGUAGGGAAUCUUCCGCAAUGGGCGAAAGCUUGACGGAGCAACGCCGCGUGAGUGAUGAAGGUCUUCGGAUCGUAAAACUCUGUUAUUAGGGAAGAACAAAUGUGUAAGUAACUAUGCACGUCUUGACGGUACCUAAUCAGAAAGCCACGGCUAACUACGUG
rnacentral:rRNA from 1 species